rnacentral:rRNA from 1 species
GACAGAGGUCCCGAGCGUUAGGCGGAAUCACUGGGCUUAAAGCGUGUGUAGGCGGAUUGGUAAGUACCUUGUGAAAUCCCACGGCUCAACCGUGGAACUGCUUGGUGUACUGCUUAUCUUGGGCCACUUAGGGGUUACCGGAACAAACGGUGGAGCGGUGAAAUGCGUAGAUAUCAAGAGGAACACCUGAGGUGAAGACGGGUUGCUGGGCUGACACUGACGCUGAGGCGCGAAAGCCAGGGGAGCGAACGGG